rnacentral:tmRNA from 1 species
GGGGGUGUAAAGGUUUCGACGGGGGUAGGAAGCAAAGGUUGCAUGCCGGGGAUGUGGGUUGGCCCCGUUAACAAUCCCACACGGCUAUAAAUGCCGACAAUUAUGAUUACGCUGUAGCAGCUUAAUAACCUGUUACCGUCCGCCUGAGCUCCUCCCGUGGGCAAGGUGCGGACGUCAUUUACACGGGAUAGUUCCCCCGAGCGCCUUUGGCGGGGGGGCGAAAUCAAAGGAGGAUCGCAGCCAGGUAUCCCGUUCAGUGGAGACGACAGCUGUUAAACCUUAAAUACUGAAACAAGCAUGUAGACCCCUUAUGCGUAUGACUUUCGGACGCGGGUUCGAUUCCCGCCACCUCCACCA